rnacentral:rRNA from 1 species
CAGCCGCCGCGGUAAUACGUAGGGUGCAAGCGUUAAUCGGAAUUACUGGGCGUAAAGCGUGCGCAGGCGGUUAUAUAAGACAGAUGUGAAAUCCCCGGGCUCAACCUAGGAACUGCAUUUGUGACUGUAUAGCUAGAGUACGGCAGAGGGGGAUGGAAUUCCGCGUGUAGCAGUGAAAUGCGUAGAUAUGCGGAGGAACACCGAUGGCGAAGGCAAUCCCCUGGGCCUGUACUGACGCUCAUGCACGAAAGCGUGGGGAGCAAACAGGAUUAGAUACCCGUGUAGUCCCUGUCUCUUAUAC